AGAGUUUGAUCCUGGCUCAGGAUAAACGCUGACAGAAUGCUUAACACAUGCAAGUCUAUGAGGAAGUUUAGCUUGCUAAAUGGACUCAUGGCGGACGGGUGAGUAACGCGUAAAGAACUUGCCCUUUAGACUGGGAUAACAGAGGGAAACUUCUGAUAAUACUGGAUAAGUUAGUAUAUCGCAUGAUAUGCAAAUGAAAGCUACGGCACUAAAGGAGAGCUUUGCGUCCUAUUAGCUAGUUGGUAAGGUAAGAGCUUACCAAGGCGAUGAUAGGUAGCCGGCCUGAGAGGGUGGACGGCCACAAGGGGACUGAGAUACGGCCCUUACUCCUACGGGAGGCAGCAGUGGGGAAUAUUGGACAAUGGAGGGAACUCUGAUCCAGCAAUUCUGUGUGUGUGAAGAAGGUUUUAGGACUGUAAAACACUUUUAGUAGGGAAGAAAAAAAUGACGGUACCUACAGAAGAAGCAACGGCUAAAUACGUGCCAGCAGCCGCGGUAAUACGUAUGUUGCGAGCGUUAUCCGGAAUUAUUGGGCUUAAAGGGCAUCUAGGCGGUAAGACAAGUUGAAGGUGAAAACCUGUGGCUCAACCAUAGGCUUGCCUACAAAACUGUUGAACUAGAGUACUGGAAAGGUGGGUGGAACUACACGAGUAGAGGUGAAAUUCGUAGAUAUGUGUAGGAAUGCCGAUGAUGAAGAUAACUCACUGGACAGAAACUGACGCUGAAGUGCGAAAGCUAGGGGAGCAAACAGGAUUAGAUACCCUGGUAGUCCUAGCUGUAAACGAUGAUCACUGGGUGUGGGGAUGCGAAGUCUCUGUGCCGAAGCAAAAGCGAUAAGUGAUCCGCCUGGGGAGUACGUUCGCAAGAAUGAAAC
rnacentral:rRNA from 1 species